rnacentral:rRNA from 1 species
CCUACGGGUGGCAGCAGUGAGGAAUAUUGGUCAAUGGACGAGAGUCUGAACCAGCCAAGUAGCGUGAAGGAUGACUGCCCUAUGGGUUGUAAACUUCUUUUAUAUGGGAAUAAAGCAGGGGAUGCAUACUAUCUUGUAUGUACCAUAUGAAUAAGGAUCGGCUAACUCCGUGCCAGCAGCCGCGGUAAUACGGAGGAUCCGAGCGUUAUCCGGAUUUAUUGGGUUUAAAGGGAGCGUAGGUGGAUUUUUAAGUCAGUUGUGAAAGUUUGUGGCUCAACCGUAAAAUUGCAGUUGAAACUGGCAGUCUUGAGUAUGUUUGAGGUAGGCGGAAUUCGUGGUGUAGCGGUGAAAUGCUUAGAUAUCACGCAGAACUCCGAUUGCGAAGGCAGCUUAC